rnacentral:rRNA from 1 species
AACGAACGCUGGCGGCAGGCCUAACACAUGCAAGUCGAACGAGGUCUUCGGGCGCUGACGAGUGGCGAACGGGUGAGUAAUGCAUCGGAACGUGCCCAGUCGUGGGGGAUAACGCAGCGAAAGCUGUGCUAAUACCGCAUACGAUCUAUGGAUGAAAGCGGGGGACCGUAAGGCCUCGCGCGAUUGGAGCGGCCGAUGUCAGAUUAGGUAGUUGGUGGGGUAAAGGCUCACCAAGCCAACGAUCUGUAGCUGGUCUGAGAGGACGACCAGCCACACUGGAACGGAGACACGGUCCAGACUCCUACGGGAGGCAGCAGUGGGGAAUUUUGGACAAUGGGCGCAAGCCUGAUCCAGCAAUGCCGCGUGCAGGAAGAAGGCCUUCGGGUUGUAAACUGCUUUUGUACGGAACGAAACGGCGAGCUCUAAUACAGUUUGCUAAUGACGGUACCGUAAGAAUAAGCACCGGCUAACUACGUGCCAGCAGCCGCGGUAAGAC